UUUACUCCAUUAAAGUAAAUAAAAUUGGGUGAACCAUUUGAAAGAAGAAAGUUGAGCUUUUACUAGAACUUUCAAAUUUUGCUAUAAGUGGUAUCAAAACACAUAGUUAGAUGAGUUCAAGUAUUAAGUUGGUACUUUAAGAUAGAGUACAUUCGCAUGUCAAGUAUUACACAGUCCCGCACAAUAUAUGGAGCGAAUAAGUUUGAGUUAAGUGGAGCAAGGGAUCACUCUCGGUCAGGUGGAGUAAGAUAUCACUCAUGCGUUUCCUUUGUCACUAUGUUGUAAAGUAUAAUUUGAGUCGAAUAGAGCGGACUUAAGAUGACUCUGGGAAACUGCUCAGGGUGAAAGGUUCACAGAGAGCAAGGUUAAUUUGAGUCGAGUAGGGCGCUUUUGAAUGACUCAAAGAAGGUAUGUUUAAUAGUGACUAUUCUAAUGUGAUACUAGUGAUGUGUAUUUAAGUAAAAGUUAGAUAUUUGUGACGGGUAUUCAAGUGAAAAGUGAAUUUGCUAGAAUAUUUUACAUAAAUCUUACAUUCUUAACCUAAUAGAUUGACUAUUUAGUUAAAGAGGUGAAUCAACAUUAUUCAAGUGUGCGUUGCAUUGGUAAUAAAUUGAUGUAUGUGGUAUCAAAGAACCAUUUAUUGUGGAAUUGUAAGAUCCACCCACAUAUUUAGCAACAAUUUAUGUGGAUGAAUCGAUGAUGUUGGGAAAGAACCAAGGAGUGUGUGUCGCAUGCGCGUACACAAGACACUAACAAACAUGUUUGUAACCCUUUGACCCAAAAGUUUAAACUAUUAGGUCUUAAGUCCAUUCAUAUAUAUUAAUCAUUCACUUAUUCAUUAAGCAUAUGAUGUGAGAUUCUAAUUCACUUGUGAUAUCCUAACUAAGGAAAUAAACGAGUCGAACCGAAGCGAACAAAAAGCUACUCGAAUUUGACUCGAAACGUUAAUUAAAUUCAUACUCGAACUCGACUCGAAUUCGAAUUGUAUUUCAAAAAUUCUACUUAGAUUCUACUCGACUCGAAUAUUUAUUAUUCGAAUUUGAUCCGACAAGAAUCAAAUUAUAUUUAAACUACUCGUGAGAUUCAAAUUCAAACUCGAAUUCGAGUUUUCACAUAAUAACUAGCUUUAUAAUAAAUAUAAUUAUAAAUUGAAUUCGUUAUUUUACUUAAAAAUGAGAAAAUAUAUUUACUAUUACACUUUACAAAUAUAAAAUCAUAAGUAAAAUUAAAAAUAAAACAAAAUAAUAAUUAAUUAACCUAAUUUGAUUUAAUUUUGUAUAUAUUAUAAAAAAAUGUAUCGAGUAUCUAUUCGAAUCUGUAUCAAUCGAGUAUGCAUCGAAUCAGAAUUGAGAAUUCGAGUAGUUUGAAUAUUAAACGAGUCGAGUAUAAACUUGCUCAAAUUCUACUCAUAUUUUUAUUUGAACUAUUUUUUAUGCUUAGAUUUGGAUCAUAUUAUUAACGGAUACAAGUCUCGCUCGUAUUUUUUCAAGUCAAGCUCAAAUUGAGUCCGAACUUUUUGACUCGUUUACAGCCUUAAUCCUAACAAUCUUCCUCUCACAAGUGAGUUCAUCACAUCAAGAGUUCCUCCUCAUGACUUGAACGUUUCUCUUCAAUGUGGCGCACACCUGUGUAGAUUAGCACAACAAAUAUAAUCACCUCCUUACCCAAAAGAUUAACCUAUUAAGUUAAAGCUCUAACAUAUUUGUUAACACAUUUACACUCUUAAAUUUAUCUGAUAUGAGAUUCAUGUAAAAUAUGCCAACAUAUAUAUAUAUAUAUAUAUAUAUAUAUAUAUAUAUAUAUAUACNNNNNNNNNNNNNNNNNNNNNNNNNNNNNNNNNNNNNNNNNNNNNNNNNNNNNNNNNNNNNNNNNNNNNNNNNNNNNNNNNNNNNNNNNNNNNNNNNNNNCCCUUUUAGCGACGGACCGAGCGACGAUUCGGUCAGUCGCUAUAUAUAGAACCGUCGCUAUAUGUUGUCCGUCGCUAAAAAUUAAGACGACGGUUCUAUAUAUAACGACGGACCGAAUCGUCGCCCGGUCUAUCGCUAAAGGGGGGUGAGCAAGAUAAGGGGUGAGCUUAAGAUCCGGACCGUGUAUAUAUAUAUACAGACAGAAUCCAGUCAGGACUCCUGAAUUUUGUUAAAAUGCGGACCUUUUUUUUUUUUUUUUAAAAAACAACUAAAAAAAAUAUUUAUUAUUUUAUAGAACUGUAAUUUUGACAUAAUACAGUGUUUUGGAUGUGAUUUGGAUACAUAUAAUCCAAAUCACACUCAAAAUACUGUAUUAUGUCAAAAUUACAGUUCCAUAAAAUAUUAAAUAUUUUUUUUAGUUGUUAAAAAAAAGCAAAAAAAAAAAAAAUGUCCGAACGGUACUAAAAUACGGAAGUCCUGACCAGAAUCGGACUCUCUCUCUCUCUCUAUAUAUAUAUAAUUAGGAUUUGGUCUUGUUGGAUGUACGAAAAUGAUAUUAUAUAAUGAGUGCUACAUCUUUGGGUAGUGGAUUGGAUGUCUUUGGAGUAAAGAGAGCGCGUACUCUGGCAAGAGUGCAUCACAUGGAAUAAUAAUAAUUAAUUAAUAGGUCCUCAUAUCUAUUUGCAGUUCAUAUUCUUCUUCUGCCAUUUUCCCUCCCUCCCUCCCUCCCUCCCUCCCUCAAUAAGUCAUUCAUUAGCUAGAUAAGCGAAGCCAAGCCUACCAGUGGAAUCUCGAUCAAAUCGCAUCUCAUCAUCGCUGUACACAACAAAUUAGUGACCCUUGUGAUCAACUAUUGAUGAAGUUACUGGUACUAGUACCAGUAGUAGUAGUGUUGUUGGAAAUUAAUUAAUACUAUUCUUUUCCUCCUGUCGAUCAAUGACUACUCUCUGCCACUUCCUCACCAUUUUGAUAAGUUUCUUGCAGCUGAACACAAGAAUCUACUGCCAGAGGAUCUAAUUAUUAAUUACCGAAAUUAAACUGUGGUUAAAUUGGUAUUAGGAUACAGAAAGUGUAAUUUCUCUGUUUGAUGACUCCAAUUCUCCAAGGAAUGGAAGUGAGUUUGUUUACAUACUACGAUCAACAAGCUAGCCAGUAGCCAGUAGCCAGUAGCCAGUAGCCAGUAGCCAGCCAGGGACGAUGCCUUAAUUUUAGUUUUCCUCGAGUAUAUACAGAUUCAGGGGAAGCAGAGUCAUGUGAUGAGACCUUUCUGUAAAGUGGUCAAGUAGCAAGCAUAUCAUAUAUCAUAUGCAUCGGGUCCAAAGCUCAUAAAAGCAGAGCAUAAGCAUUUGCUUUAGGAAGAGUUGCCCUUCAAUUCGCGGUUCGUUGUCUCCCCUUGUCAUCCGACUGACAGCUCUAAGGCUGUUGAAAAUGCUAUUCUCUUCACCAGAGUUGAAAAAUAUUUUGUAUUAGAAAAUAAUCCAUCUA
rnacentral:lncRNA from 1 species